GUAGUGUAUGUGCAUACAUCCAAGCAGUCAAACACCAGCACAACAUAUUAGCAAUCUAACUCAAAUAUUACAUACACACACCCCUGCUUUCAAACUAAAAAAUAUAUAUACAAACACACCCCUUCACUCAACACAAAUACUUCAGACAAAUGUACAUCUGCAUUUAAAAGUGAACAUUACAUUCAGACACACCCCUGCAAUCAAACACAAACAUUACAUACAAACAUACCCCUGUAUUAAAACACAAUAACUAUAUACAAGCACCCCUUUAAACACCAAUACUGUACAUUACACUAAAGCGCCAGUUAAUGUCGCAGCGCUGUACAGAUUUGCAACCUAGAAAUUUUGACUUGGGUGCCUUGCAAAAAUACUGAAAUAUUAAGGGUGCCUUGAACCUAAAAAGUUUGGGAACCACUGGUCUAUAUAAUUAAUUGAAAUAUUACUAGAACCAUCUGCCAUUCUAUUUAAUAUCUUACAGCAUUUGCCUGUUCAGAAGAUAAUUUACCAAUGAGUGACGAAAAUAAAAAUAUUCCAGUUUAACUGUUUACAUGCCAGGACGUUUUUAGUAGAAAAAUGUACUUCGAUG